UACGUAGGGUGCAAGCGUUGUCCGGAAUUAUUGGGCGUAAAGAGCUCGUAGGUGGCGGGUCACGUCGGGUGUGAAAGCCCGGGGCUUAACCCCGGGUCUGCAUUCGAUACGGGCCUGCUAGGGUCCGGCAGGGGAGACUGGAAUUCCUGGUGUAGCGGUGAAAUGCGCAGAUAUCAGGAGGAACACCGGUGGCGAAGGCGGGUCGCUGGACCUCUUCUGACGCUGAGGCGCGAAAGCCAGGGGAGCAAACGGG
rnacentral:rRNA from 1 species